GCAGGCUGCAACUCGCCUGCAUGAAGUCGGAAUUGCUAGUAAUCGCGGAUCAGCAUGCCGCGGUGAAUACGUUCUCGGGCCUUGUACACACCGCCCGUCACACCAUGGGAGUCGGUAACACCCGAAGUCUGUAGCCUGACGCAAGAGGGCGCAGCCGAAGGUGGGAUUGAUGACUGGGGUGAAGUCGUAACAAGGUAUC
rnacentral:rRNA from 1 species